rnacentral:rRNA from 1 species
CCUACGGGUGGCAGCAGUGAGGAAUAUUGGUCAAUGGGCGCGAGCCUGAACCAGCCAAGUAGCGUGAAGGAUGACUGCCCUACGGGUUGUAAACUUCUUUUAUAAAGGAAUAAAGUGAGACACGUGUGCCUUUUUGUAUGUACUUUAUGAAUAAGGAUCGGCUAACUCCGUGCCAGCAGCCGCGGUAAUACGGAGGAUCCGAGCGUUAUCCGGAGUUAUUGGGUUUAAAGGGAGCGUAGAUGGGUUGUUAAGUCAGUUGUGAAAGUUUGCGGCUCAACCGUAAAAUUGCAAUUGAUACUGUCAGGCUUGAGUAUAGUGGAGGUAGGCGGAAUUCGUGGUGUAGCGGUGAAAUGCUUAGAGAUGACGAAGAACUCCGAUUGCGAAGGCAGCUUACUAAACUGCCACUGACAUUGAUGCUCGAAAGUGUGGGUAUCAAACAGGAUUAGAUACCCCGGUAGUC